CAGAGGUGCAAGCGUUAAUCGGAAUUACUGGGCGUAAAGCGCGCGUAGGUGGUUGUUAAGUUGGAUGUGAAAUCCCCGGGCGUCAACCUGGGAACGUGCAUUCAAAACUAGACUGACUAGAGUAUGGUAGAGGGUGGUGGAAUUUCCUGUGUAGCGGUGAAAUGCGUAGAUAUAGGAAGGAACACCAGUGGCGAAGGCGACCACCUGGACUAAUACUGACACUGAGGUGCGAAAGCGUGGGAGCAAACAGGAUU
rnacentral:rRNA from 1 species